UACAGAGGUCUCAAGCGUUGUUCGGAUUCAUUGGGCGUAAAGGGUGCGCAGGCGGCGGGGCAAGUCGGACGUGAAAUCUCGGGGCUUAACCCCGAAACUGCGUUCGAUACUGCCCUGCUAGAGGACUAGAGAGGAGACUGGAAUUCCUGGUGUAGCAGUGAAAUGCGUAGAUAUCAGGAGGAACGCCAAUGGCGAAGGCAAGUCUCUGGACAGUUCCUGACGCUCAUGCACGAAGGCCAGGGGAGCAAACAGG
rnacentral:rRNA from 1 species